rnacentral:rRNA from 1 species
UGGGGAAUAUUGCACAAUGGAGGGAACUCUGAUGCAGCGACGCCGCGUGAGUGAUGAAGGACUUCGUUUCGUAAAACUCUGUUCUAUGGGAAGAAAAUGACUGUACCAUAGGAGAAAGCUCCGGCUAACUUCGUGCCAGCAGCCGCGGUAAUACGUAUGGAGCGAGCGUUGUCCGGCAUUAGUGGGCGUAAAGGGUGCGAAGGCGGCUUUAUAAGUUGGAUGUGAAAUAAUGUGGCUAAACCACAAACCUGCUUCCAAAACUGCAGAGCUAGAGUUAAGGAGAGGUAAGUUGAAUUCCGGGUGUAGAGGUGGAAUGCGUAGAUAUGAGGAGGAAAACCGGUGGCGAAGGCGACUAACUGGACUGAAACUGACGCUCAGGCACGAAAGCGUGGGGAGCAAACAGG